rnacentral:rRNA from 1 species
AUUCCAGCUCCAAUAGCGUAUAUCUAAGUUGUUGCAGUUAAAAAGCUCGUAGUUGGAUUUCGGGUUGGCUUCAGCGGUCUCGCUUUGCGUUUGUACUGCUGCAGCCUUCCUUCUUGUCGGGGACGGGCCUACGGGCUUAAUUGCUUGGGGCCCGGAGUCGACGAUGUUACUUUGAGUAAAUUAGAGUGUUCAAAGCAAGCCUACGCUCUGAAUAUAAUAGCAUGGGAUAACACGACAGGACUCUGGCCUAUCGUGUUGGUCUGUAGGACCGGAGUAAUGAUUAAGAGGGACAGUCGGGGGCAUUCGUAUUCCAUUGUCAGAGGUGAAAUUCUUGGAUUUAUGGAAGACGAACAUCUGCGAAAGCAUUUGUCAAGGAUGUUUUCAUUA